UACGGAGGGUGCAAGCGUUAAUCGGAAUUACUGGGCGUAAAGGGUGCGUAGGGGGUUUGAUAAGUUAACUGUGAAAGCCCUGGGCUCAACCUGGGAAUGCCAGUUAAUGCUGUUGGACUAGAGUAUGGGAGAGGAUAGUGGAAUUUCCGGUGUAGCGGUGAAAUGCGUAGAGAUCGGAAGGAACACCAGUGGCGAAGGCGGCUAUCUGGCCUAAUACUGACACUGAAGCACGAAAGCGUGGGGAGCAAACAGG
rnacentral:rRNA from 1 species